CUGCCUGUCAAGAGGCCAACUGGUAGAGCAUGGAUGGGUCAAGCAGCAAAAGCAGCCCUGGAACAACCACUUUGGUUUGCCUUGUAUUCCCAGUUGAUGCUUUGGUUGGAGAUGAGGAGCUCCCUUUCCAGGCCUAUCUACAGCACCUUGUCAACUGCACUGAGCCCAUAGGAUCGGGUGGGCAUGGCAAAGUGGAUGUCAUGUGUUAGUGCUAUGGCAAACCAAGCCUGGAAUGAGCAAUUAACGACAAUUAAGAGUGUGCAGAACGCAUCACUGAUGAUUGAUACAAGGGAGCUCACCGUAGAUUGACAGUACUUGCUGGUCCGUUGGGGGAUCUCUGCUCUGUGUAUCACCUGUAAUAUCAUUUCGAAAAACUGAACUGAAUUACAAAGACACCACUGCAGAUUCUGACUCAUUCUGCUUUCCCAUUCUAUUUGGCCUGCAACACUCACCAAUAAAUGCUACAGAGUGUACCAAAAAAGAUGAUUUGUGUGAGCGUGUUCUAGUAGCAUAGAAUGGACCAUUUUAUACUUGGCUACUUUUUGCUUACUAAGUUGGAGAACUGCAAAAUGCAAAAGAAAAC
ensembl:lncRNA